ensembl:lncRNA
UGAAAACGCACGUUUUUCUUUUCGCCGUCGUGCCGAAACGCGCCUAAAGCCCGGCCAGGCAUUCCUGAGGACAUCAUGACAUUUAGAGGAAAUCUAAGCGUGUUGAGAUCCGCACUGAGCUGUGAGUAGAAACCUAAUCAGAUCCUGCGCGUUUAGGGGCGAAGAGAGAGAAGAGAAGUGAAAAGAAAAAACAAAGUUGCACCCUGAACCUUGAGGAUAGAAAAGAGAACAAGCCUAAUUUGCCUUUUUUCCCUAAGAAACAGUGGAGAGCCUAGGAUGCGGAUGAGGAUGGGGGCUUUGGCUUGUGAAGAAGGGGGGACAAAUCAGAUCUAAUCGAGUUAAAGAAUGGGACGCCACAGCAGAGGGGGAACUGCGUUCAUCUGAGUCGGAUGACCACAGACACGUCCGGUUGACACGGCAGGGACUCGCAGCAACAACAACAUUUGUUGGCGUUUGGUCUUAAUGGAGAACUGAACAGAAUGUGGAUAUGCGCGAUUCAUCUUAAACGCACGAGCCGGUGAGGGAUCUAUAGCCACUGCCGGACAUCGAAUAGACUCGAGACGGGGGGCAGUGUGGAGGAACUGUGCGCAGAAUUGCGUGAGGCUCGCGGAUGGAGUUCCGCUGCGGCUGGCGCGGAGGAGCGCGCGCUCUGCUUUUCGCUCCGAUUUGAACUGCGAAAAGAUCCCAGCUUCCAGAGAGAGAGAGACAAAAGGAAGCCACGUAGUGAAACUGAGAGUGAAGAUGUCCAGGACCUGCUGGCACUGUGGAUGACUUGGCAGCUUGCCCAUUACAACGCACCCCAAAGAGUGGAC